CACGUUUUGGCGGGAAUACGCCUGACCGAUGAGAUCACUGUUUUAAGAUCAUAGAAAAAUAACGGUUUCUUAUUUUCGGUCCAUUUGGAGACAAAUACUUUCAAGAAUUAUGUUCUCGACCUGAGUCAUUGCCGAGCUGCUAUCACCAAACGGCAUGCUGACCUUUGCUCCCCCUUGGCUUUAAGGCAGCUGCACAGACAGUGGCAGCCUCUAUUCCACUGGGCCUGUUCCCCCUCCAGACCACCUCCAAGUACCACUGGCAUCUUUGUGGAGACCUAUCCAGACAUAAGGAGGCCCUUGCUCGUGUUCGAUUGUGUAGAGUUCCUCAUCUUCAUCUGAGUUGUCGACUGAAGACAGAUCGGUGUGAUGCUCUCUGCAAUAGUCUCUGGCUUCUUGCCAAGACAUUUUUGUGGUGACAGGAACAUUUGUCCCAAAGAGGGCCCAGACGACCCCGUUGAUGAGACCUGUGAGAAUCAGAAACGUGAAAGCCCUCCUCAUCAUGUUAGCGUGACUCUGUGGUUCCCUUCUUUUGAAAUGAUGUCCUCCUGUCCAGGGUCUCUAGAACCUUUUUAAAGGGGGCAGCAAGCAGCCAAUCACAGGGCAUCCUAGAUUGCUAGGAAAAUUCCCAGGCCGGCACACACAGGCUUAAUGAUGAGGGCAUUCAAAUGUUUGCAAAUCAGGGCUGAAUAGGAAGGAUCUGUUAAACUUGUUUCCAUUAGGGCAAUUUCCAAAAAUCUCCCCCACUCAAGAGACACUUUAUGACGGGAUCUCAUUUCCCCGGCUGUUUGUGCAAAUGAACAUCUUGACCAUGUGCAGAGACCAAAGGAUGUUUUCAGCCGGUCUGACUCUAUUUAUGGGUCCAAUGUCAAUCUGUGUAUGUUUGUAUGUAGCAGUACCAGGUUAGAAGGUUGUCUCCUCCCUUUACUGUAUAUUCAACCCAUGACCAUUACUGCCCUGACCUCACUGAAGCACAUCACUAAUGCCAUGUUUUGAAUAGAAAAUUUGCUUUUUUCCCUAUGUUCAUUCAAACUACAGCCCUUUGCUGUGUUGGCUGUGACUCGUCCCAGCCUUAGGCAAAAUAACUAUUUGCAUUUCAAUAGAAGCCAUGAAGGAAAACAUAGAAUUUUCUUAUUUCAGUAUUAAACUGCGGCUUCAUAUGUUUAUGUAGAA